UUCUAAUAUGGCAGAAUAGUGCACUGGAUUUAAACCCCAAAUAUAAAGACUCUCUUUUUUUAGAA
rnacentral:tRNA from 1 species